rnacentral:SRP_RNA from 1 species
CCAUGCUAGAUGGGGAGUUAGCGGUGCCUUGUAACCUGCAAUCCGCUAUAGCAGGAUCGAACUCCUGUCCGAGAUAUAUUAUUUAUUUGGUCUGCCCUCAAUAAGUGGUGUUGACGAUUGGGUCCUACGCAACAGAAGCCUGCCAACUCCGUCAGGUCCGGAAGGAAGCAGCGGUACGUAGUCACUUUUGUGUGCCGUGGGGUCGCCUGGUUUGAGCUAACUGUUGAGGUAACGCUUAUGAUGAUAUACCGAAGACAGGUGCAUGG